GGCACAGUGGCAGAGUGGUCUAAUGCGAUAGACUAGAAAUCUAUUCUCUUCGGAGGCGUCUGUUCGAAUCAGGCCUGUGUCG
rnacentral:tRNA from 3 species